CGCACUUUUGGAUUUUGAACCGUGACGUCAAGCCGUUCUCAACCGCCAACCAGACAGUUUGUAAAAUGUUGCGUUUCUGAUUAUUUUCUUUUUUCGAAGAAAACGCAGUCGAAACAGGUCUAUCGAGUUACACUGAAGACACGCACAUUCACGACGAAACAUUAAUUAAGGAAGAAUGGUAUUUCUCCGAGGAAGUAAUCGUCAGCUGGCCCGCUGCGAGAAACCAGACGUCUCAGUUCAUCAGUUUUUGCUGAGUCAGGCCUGGAUGAAAACCUGCUUAAAGAGAGAGAUAGAUUAACUGGGAAGAUGAAGCCUGGUGCUGAUGUACCUGGUAAGCUAAAUGAAGAAUUGUAAAACCGAAAAAGCUCAGAUGACGCUGAAAAGACUGUCAGCUCAGCCUCAACCCCUGUAAAUGAAUCAGCUCAAGAAAUGCAAAGAAGAAUAGAAGGGCUACAGGAAGAAAACAGCGGCUCAGAGAGGAACUUGAAAAGGGAAAAAUUAGUGGACUGAGAUCUCGAGUCACGUCUUUCAGUUAUUUAUAUUUUAUCUAAACAAAAACUUCUCACAAAAUGAGGAAUAUUAUAAAGCAGUUACAAUAAAAAGUAAACAAUAUGCUCUCUAAAAAGUUGAUGCAGUUGUUAUAGAGCCAAUAUUUACCUGAUCUUAAAAAUGACUUUGAUCUGUCAAUACAGUCAGGUUGAUUAUGUUAAAUAACCAGUUCAUUUAGAUGUUACCACAUAAAGUUCUCCAGUGAAGUGCAGACAUGAUGCAAGUGUUGUAAAUGGCCGCUUCAUUGAUUACACUCUGUAUAAUUUUAAACAUAGUCUGAAGUCUCUAAUAUAAUAUAUGUUUUUAUAGAAAAAUUUCAAAGCACCUUUUAUAUUUCUCUAAAUUAUUUAUAAGAUAAAAUAAAUUGUUUACAUAAAAAAUAAUUAGUUAAAAUCUUGUUUCAGAGAUUCCUGGAUUCUCAAUGAGCUGAGAAGGCUAAGGACAGAGGCACAACCUCAAACUGAAAGUGAGGUAAAUAUAAAAUUGUAUUUAGAAAAAAAUGUUGUUUCAAUCCUCAAAUUUGAUUGAUUGGUGGUCCAAGACAUUUCACUGUUUGUAUUACUCUGUGAUUAUGUAUGUGGUGCACAGUAGAAGCAGGUUGGGGAAUGGAUUGAUCUGAAUUGAGGAGCAUAUUUUUUGAAAGCCCUCGAUGCUCCUAUUUAGUGAGUAGGGAGCAGAAAAAGAAAACCUAGAGUGGAAUAUAUGUGUUGCUCACAUUAUACUAAACACACUCUUUGUCACACACACAGUUUCGUAAUGAACUGAAACAUUUGUACACUUCUCAUGAUAACAUAAAAGUUCUCUACUAUUGUGUUUUGCACAGUUGCUUUGGCAAAACAUCUGUCAAACAAACUAAAAUCGAAGUGUGUUAUUUCUCAGUGCUAGGGGUGGGCGAUAUGACCAAAAUCUUAUAUCACGAUAUGACUAAUUUUAAAUCACGAUAACGAUAUAUAUCACGAUAUAGUAAUUUUUUUAUAUUAAAAUCUUUGAUACCAUAGAAUUUUCAUAAUCCUUGUCACCAAUGUCAAUAUCAAACUAAUACAAGCCUUAAAAUAGACAAAAAAAAAAAACACUCAAGCUCACUGAAAAUAAAGUCAGUGAUGAAAUAAGUAUAAGAAACUAAUUGCAAGCAAUAGGACAAAAACUACAAUACAUAAGAAACGCUACAUACAUUGUGUAAAUUAAUUAGUCUUCACUGUGUUAAUUAUAUCUAUCUAUCCAUCUAUGAUAGAUAUAAUUAACAUGUUUAUUAUGUAUAGAUUAGGGCUGGGUAUCGAUUCAGA